rnacentral:rRNA from 1 species
CCUACGGGGGGCAGCAGUGGGGAAUAUUGCACAAUGGGGGAAACCCUGAUGCAGCGACGCCGCGUGAGUGAAGAAGUAUUUCGGUAUGUAAAGCUCUAUCAGCAGGGAAGAAAAUGACGGUACCUGUUUAAGAAGCCCCGGCUAACUACGUGCCAGCAGCCGCGGUAAUACGUAGGGGGCAAGCGUUAUCCGGAUUUACUGGGUGUAAAGGGAGCGUAUACGGCAGCACAAGUCUGGAGUGAAAUGCCGGGGCUUAACCCCGGAACUGCUUUGGAAACUGUGCGGCUAGAGUGCAGGAGAGGUAUGUGGAAUUCGUGGUGUAGCGGUGAAAUGCGUAGAUAUUAGGAAGAACACCGAUGGCGAAGGCAGCUUACUGGACUGUAACUGACGUUGAGGCUCGAAAGCGUGGGGAGCGAACAGGAUUAGAUACCCUAGUAGUC